CAGCAGCCGCGGUAAUACAGAGGAUGCUAGCGUUGCUCGGAAUGACUGGGCGUAAAGGGCGCGUAGGCGGAUUGUUUAGUUAGGCGUGAAAUUCCUGGGCUUAACCUGGGGACUGCGCUUAAUACAGGCAGUCUAGAGUGAGGAAGAGGGUUGUGGAAUUCCCAGUGUAGAGGUGAAAUUCGUAGAUAUUGGGAAGAACACCGGUGGCGAAGGCGGCAACCUGGUCCUUGACUGACGCUGAGGCGCGAAAGCGUAGGGAGCAAACAGGAUUAGAUACCCCAGUAGUCCCUGUCUCUUAUAC
rnacentral:rRNA from 1 species